rnacentral:rRNA from 1 species
GAUGAACGCUGGCGGCGUGCUUAACACAUGCAAGUCGAACGGACUUUACAUGAAGCCUAGCGAAUGUAAAGUUAGUGGCGGACGGGUGAGUAACGCGUGAAUAACCUGCCUUACACUGGGGGACAACAGUUGGAAACGACUGCUAAUACCGCAUAAGCGCACAGCUUCGCAUGAAGCAGUGUGAAAAACUCCGGUGGUGUAAGAUGGAUUCGCGUCUGAUUAGAUAGUUGGUGAGGUAACGGCUCACCAAGUCGACGAUCAGUAGCCGGCCUGAGAGGGUGAACGGCCACAUUGGGACUGAGAUACGGCCCAGACUCCUACGGGAGGCAGCAGUGGGGAAUAUUGGGCAAUGGGGGAAACCCUGAUGCAGCGACGCCGCGUGAGUGAAGAAGUAUUUCGGUAUGUAAAGCUCUAUCAGCAGGGAAGAUAAUGACGGUACCUGACUAAGAAGCCCCGGCUAACUACGUG